GGUGGUGUGGGCCUUCUUACUCGC
rnacentral:siRNA from 1 species